rnacentral:lncRNA from 1 species
GUGCGAUACAAACUUUUGUUGGUGUUGUGAGGCUAACUCCUGCUUCCAUGGUGGCCUAGGAUUUUUGCCUUUUGUCUGCUAGGUUUGCACUCGAUGCUCGGGUCUUUGUAUACUGAUCCUGAUUGAGGGUGGGGGUAGGGUGAGCCUGGUUUUAUAGGGUUUCGUGCAUUUAUUUUUUGUACUUAGUUAGGUUAAAAUUUAUUGUCGGGUUAUUGAUGGUUGUUGUGGUAGUUGGUUUUGCUGUACCUGACUGAGGGUUUUUGUAGUUUCGUUUUAAUUUUACACUUUGUUUGUUGGGGGUCUGCUUAGAGUAGCAGGAUACCUUCGACCUUAUUUUGGUGAAGGUUAUGUGAAUUUUGUUGAGGUCUGUCUUGUGAAUGUUAAACCUCCGCCGCCUUUUGGCGAAAAUAAUAUAGUUCCUGAUGCCUGAUUUUCCUCAGGUCUUUGUCAGGUUUGAAGGUUUUGUUCCUUCUGGCCAUGUUGUGAUGCCUGAGGAGGACAGGACUUUUUCACUUUUUGGCC